GGCUUGAUGGUCUGGUAGUAUGAUUCCUUGUUAGGGUCAAGGAGGUCCUGGGUUCAAUUUCCAGUCAAGCCC
rnacentral:tRNA from 1 species